rnacentral:rRNA from 1 species
ACCCCUGUGAACAUACCAAUUGUUGCCUCGGCGGAUCAGCCCGCUCCCGGUAAAACGGGACGGCCCGCCAGAGGACCCCUAAACUCUGUUUCUAUAUGUAACUUCUGAGUAAAACCAUAAAUAAAUCAAAACUUUCAACAACGGAUCUCUUGGUUCUGGCAUCGAUGAAGAACGCAGCAAAAUGCGAUAAGUAAUGUGAAUUGCAGAAUUCAGUGAAUCAUCGAAUCUUUGAACGCACAUUGCGCCCGCCGGUAUUCUGGCAAUUAUGGCUGUUGGUGCGCCUUCCCAACCCUCAAGCCCCCGGGCUUGGUGUUGGGGAUCGGCGAGCCUCACGGCAAGCCGGCCCCGAAAUACAGUGGCGGUCUCGCUGCAGCUUCCAUUGCGUAGUAGUAAAACCCUCGCAACUGGUACGCGGCGCGGCCAAGCCGUUAAACCCCCAACUUCUGAAUCUUGAGCCUCGGAUCAGGCAUGCAGGCCCAAGAUGUGAGUAAAAAUCCCCAGAUAGGAUCAUACCUCAGGAGG